rnacentral:rRNA from 1 species
AGCGAACGCUGGCGGCAGGCCUAAUACAUGCAAGUCGAGCGCACCUUCGGGUGAGCGGCGGACGGGUGAGUAACGCGUGGGAACGUGCCCUUUGGUACGGGAUAACUGAGGGAAACUUCAGCUAAUACCAUAUGUGCCCUACGGGGGAAAGAUUUAUCGCCAUUGGAGCGGCCCGCGUUGGAUUAGGUAGUUGGUGAGGUAAAGGCUCACCAAGCCUACGAUCCAUAGCUGGUCUGAGAGGAUGAUCAGCCACACUGGGACUGAGACACGGCCCAGACUCCUACGGGAGGCAGCAGUAGGGAAUCUUGCGCAAUGGGCGAAAGCCUGACGCAGCCAUGCCGCGUGAAUGAUGAAGGUCUUAGGAUUGUAAAAUUCUUUCACCGGGGAAGAUAAUGACGGUACCCGGAGAAGAAGCCCCGGCUAACUUCGUGCCAGCCGCCGCAGUAAAAC